rnacentral:snRNA from 1 species
CCUCACAACUUAUGCUAAA